rnacentral:rRNA from 1 species
UUAGAGUUUGAUCCUGGCUCAGGACGAACGCUGGCGGCGUGCUUAACACAUGCAAGUCGAGCGGUAAGGCUCCUUCGGGAGUACACGAGCGGCGAACGGGUGAGUAACACGUGAGUAACCUGCCGAUCUGUGGGGGAUAGCCGGGCUAACGCCCGGGUAAUACCGCAUCCGGUGCCUCGGGGGGGUCCCUGGGGCAAGAAACCUGGGCAACCAGGGCGGAUCGAGGGGCUCGCGGCCUAUCAGCUAGUUGGGGGGGUAACGGCCCACCAAGGCGACGACGGGUAGCUGGUCUGAGAGGAUGGCCAGCCACAUUGGGACUGAGAGACGGCCCAGACUCCUACGGGAGGCAGCAGUGGGGAAUCUUGCGCAAUGGCCGAGAGGCUGACGCAGCGACGCCGCGUGUGGGAGGACGCCUUUCGGGGUGUAAACCACUGUUGCCCGGGACGAACAGGUCUAUUCGUAGGCCCUGACGGUACCGGGUGAGGAAGCACCGGCUAACUCCGUGCCAGCAGCCGCGGUAG